GGGAUGUGUGGGCCUGGAGGGGCGGUAAUGCGGGGGUGGCGAGCGUUAAGGUGGUUUAUUGGGCGUAAAGCGUGUGUAUGUGGUUGUUUAAGUCGGAUGUGAAAUGCCCGAGGUUAACUUGGGAAUGGGAUGCGAGACUGGGAAGCUAGAGUAUGGGAGAGGAUGGUAGAAUUCCAGGUGUAGCGGUGAAAUGCGUAGAGAUCUGGAGGAAUACCGAUGGCGAAGGCAGCCAUCUGGCCUAAUACUGACGCUGAGGUACGAAAGCAUGGGGAGCAAACAGGAUUAGAUACCCUUGUAGUC
rnacentral:rRNA from 1 species